rnacentral:rRNA from 1 species
CAGUCGCCACGGGAAUACAGAGGGUGCGAGCGUUAAUCGGAUUUACUGGGCGUAAAGCGUGCGUAGGCGGCUUCUUAAGUCGGAUGUGAAAUCCCUGAGCUUAACUUAGGAAUUGCAUUCGAUACUGGGAAGCUAGAGUAUGGGAGAGGAUGGUAGAAUUCCAGGUGUAGCGGUGAAAUGCGUAGAGAUCUGGAGGAAUACCAAUGGCGAAGGCAGCCAUCUGGCCUAAUACUGACGCUGAGGUACGAAAGCAUGGGGAGCAAACAGGAUUAGAUACCCGGGUAGUCCCUGUCUCUUAUAC